rnacentral:tRNA from 1 species
AUUCUUCUAGUAUAAUAAGUACAAUUGACUUCCAAUCAAUCAGUCCUGGUAUAAUCCGAGGAAGAAUA